ACGGUCGCAAGACUAAAACUCAAAGGAAUUGACGGGAACCCGCACAAGCGGUGGAGCAUGUGGUUCAAUUCGAUGACAAGCGUGGAACCUUACCAAGGUUUGACAUCCCCCGAAUCCGCUGGAAACAGUGGAGUGCCGCAAGGAACGGGGUGACAGGUGCUGCAUGGUUGUCGUCAGCUCGUGUCGUGAGAUGUUCGGUUAAGUCCGUUAACGAGCGCAACCCCUAUGAUAUGUUACAAAGUGUCAUAUCAAACUGCCCUGGAUAACAGGGAGGAAGGUGGGGAUGACGUCAAAUCAGCAUGGCUCUUACACCUUGGGCUACACACGUGCUACAAUGGCCGGUACAAAGGGACGCUAAACCGUAAGGUGGAGCCAAUCCCAUCAAAACCGGUCCCAGUUCGGAUUGAGGUCUGCAAUUCGACCUCAUGAAGCCGGAAUCGCUAGUAACCGUGUAUCAGCCACGGCACGGUGAAUACGUUCUCGGGUUUUGUACAAAAUUAAAAGGCGCGCGGCAGUUAUAAGGACAAGAUGGUGUGAAUCCAUCUUCAUA
rnacentral:ncRNA from 1 species